UUACUUUUUAAUCGUUUUGCAAACAUCUCUAGCUUUUAAUCUGACCGAGUAAUGCGUUGUCUCAACUAUUUAUAAUCAGACAUGCCAAAGUCUAGAAAUUUUCCACAAUAGAAAACCAAGAUAUCUUUCGUACAAAACUUAUAGAUAAAAUACAAAUGCACACAUUCCAGAUAGUACUUUCCAAGAUUUGGCUUUUGCUUUUGAAGAGGAAAUCUUCAACUCUCAAGUGGAUAUGAGAUUUAAGAAAACUCUUGAGAAUAACUAUCAUAAAAAACUCAAGAAACUCUUCAACGGAUAUGUACUUUUACAAAUUACAUCAGUUUUAUUUGUAAAUCAUAUCUAUGUAUAUAUAUGAACUUUGAUGUACAUCACUUAUCACACAACAAGCGAUAAAAUUAUUAGGACUUGAUAAAAUAAAUCUAAAUAGAGAAGAAUACUUCUAUUUUUAAAUUUCACAAUGAACUAAUAUAUAUACAAAGAGAGUACCAAUGGCACUAACUACAGAAAACAACCAAAAUGUAGGCCCCAUAUUCAUCACUUGUUUUAAAUCAUCAAAAAAUUUAGUUACAAUAAAAGCUAGUAACCAAUUUAAAACACAAGCACUACUCGCAGCUACACCUUUUACCUCUGGUGCAAAUAUUUCUCCCAUCAUCAUCCAAGGAAUAGGACCAAAACCAAUACUAAACAUAACAAUAAAGAUACAUAUAGAUAUUAAAGGUAACCAUUGAAUUGCACUAACAUCCACUCUAAUUUCUGUAAGAUAGAAAUACACCCCAAGAGCUAAAGUUGUUAAGCACAUGAAUAUUGCUGAUGCCAUUAACAAUAUUCUUCUACCUAAACGAUCUACAAUCAAUGUGCCUAUAAAAACAGCUAAUACUUGUAUUAUACCUAUAAUAAUAAUGGAAUAACUAUUAUCCAUACCACUACCAGUUUCAUUAAAAAUGGUACUGGCAUAAAAAAUAACAACAUUUACACCACUUAAUUGUUGAAAAAACAUGAGGCCAUACGAAAUCACGAAACUUCUCUUGGUAGCUUUAGAUUUAAGUAAUACGAAUAAAGAAGUUGUCUUUUUACGAGUUUCUUCUAGUGCUUCUCGGUGUACACGUAAUUCGUUCUCUACAUUGUAUUGACUACCACGUAAUUUAGUUAAACUUUUUCUUGCAGCUUCUUCAUUGCCUUUUUUUAAAUAAUAGAUGGGUGUUUCUGGCAUGAACAUAAAAAUUCCAAAAAAUAUAAAUGGCACAACAGCUGAUAUAAUAGACACCACACGCAUAUCUACAGAACUUCCUAAAAUGUAUGUUAAUGCAAUGCCUACUGUAAGAAGUAACUGAAAAUAAGAUCCUAAACUGCCACGAAUCUCAUUUUCAGCUAUCUCUGCUGUGUACAUAGGUGCAGCUACACAAAAAGCUCCAACACUAAAACCCAUAAUAAAUCUACCAAUAAAAAACAUAGCUACAGAAUUGGCCAAAAUUAUAAGCAGCCAACCUAUGGUAAAGGGUAUUACCAUUAGAAGCAUGGUAUAUUUUCUUCCUAUUACAUCAGCAAGAAUUCCACACCAGCAACAGCAGUCCAUGCCAAUACCAUACCAACUGCUAAUGCCCCAAGAGUUGAUGAUAAACUGGCAAUAUACUGGGGCAACUUUUUAGCAGGUACAUCUUCAGUAUUGGAAACUAAUGUUUCUUGUGAAAUGCCAACGUUCUUUUCAUUCAUCUUCAAUAUUAGAAAUCACUUCAUCAAAUGUCUAAAAAUAAUUAAACAAAAUAAUAAUUUUUUGUGCAAAAUAAUCAAUUCAUUAAUUAAAUUUCAUUUAAAGUUACUUUAAUCUGUUUAGUUUUGUUGAAAUUUAUGGCUAUGCUAAUUUUUAUUUCAUGUGAAAUCUAUUUGUUUAUCACUUAUAUUAUCAAAAAUUACACUAUUAUUAAAAAUAUAUUCACGAUAAUAGAAAAUAAAAAAAUAUUUUUUAUCACUGUAUGUUAUCACUAUGUUUUGCUACGUACCGUGCUGGUUAAAUAAAAGUUUAAAUGACUACUUGAAACGUUAAAAGAAAGUGUUUCGUUAUUGAAGUCCGAUCGUAUAUUAAAAUAUCUAUUACUUGUGGACACUCGGCAAUAAUCACUACCUUGAAAGUAUUUGUUUCUUAUCAGCGAUAUGACUAAAGAGCGAUUAAUCUCGGUUUAAUUGACAGGAACUAAUACAUAUACAAAGAGAGUACCAAUAGCACAGAUUACAGAAAACAACCAAUAUGUAGGCCCCACAUUAAUCGCUUGUUUUAAAUCAUCAAAAAAUUUAGUUACAAUAAAGGCUAGCAACCAAUUUAAAACACAAGCACCACUAGCAGCUACACCUUUUACCUCUGGUGGAAAUACUUCUCCCAUCAUCAUCCAUGGGAGAGGACCAAAACCGACACUAAACAUAAUACCAAAGAGACAUAUAGAUAUUAAAGCUAUCUCUGCUAUGUACAUUGGUAUGGUUACACAAAAAGCUCCAACAGUAAACCCAAGAAUAAGUCUACCAAUAAAAAACAUAGCUAGAGAAUUGGCAAAAAUUAGAAGCAGCCAACCUAAG